CAAACAACAGGGGGGGACUCGAGCCGGGAAAAAGACAGACCCGGGUGGGAGGAAAGCCUGCAGCAGGAAGGAGAGGGCUGGGAAGAGGGAGCUCUCAAGACUAGAAGGAAGGACCUUCCCGGGCACCAAGCAGAAAAGGCUCGGGGUCUUCUCGCUCCUGCUCGUGCUCCCCCUCCUCCGACGCGGCCCCGGCGGCCGCCGCCUCCCCGGUUUCCUCGACCGACGCCUCGCGCGCCUCAGCCGCCACCAGUUCGGGCUCGGGCUCGGGCUCCGACUCUUCGGGUUCGGGUUCCGGCUGGGGCUCACCGCCGCCGCACGGUCCGCGAAACUCGCCCAG